GCUGGGCACGGUGGCGGGUGCCUGUAAUCCCAGCUACUCAGGAGGCUGAGGUAGGAGAAUCGCUUGAGCCUGGGAGAUGGAGGUUGUAGUGAGCUGAGAUUGUGCCACUGUACUCCAGCCAGGGUGACAGAGCGAGACCCUAUCUCAA
rnacentral:sRNA from 1 species